CUUUCCAGAGAUGGAUUGGUGCCUUCGGGAACUCUGAGACAGGUGCUGCAUGGCUGUCGUCAGCUCGUGUUGUGAAAUGUUGGGUUAAGUCCCGCAACGAGCGCAACCCUUAUCCUUUGUUGCCAGCGGUUAGGCCGGGAACUCAAAGGAGACUGCCAGUGAUAAACUGGAGGAAGGUGGGGAUGACGUCAAGUCAUCAUGGCCCUUACGAGUAGGGCUACACACGUGCUACAAUGGCGCAUACAAAGAGAAGCGACCUCGCGAGAGCAAGCGGACCUCAUAAAGUGCGUCGUAGUCCGGAUUGGAGUCUGCAACUCGACUCCAUGAAGUCGGAAUCGCUAGUAAUCGUGGAUCAGAAUGCCACGGUGAAUACGUUCCCGGGCCUUGUACACACCGCCCGUCACACCAUGGGAGUGGGUUGCAAAAGAAGUAGGUAGCUUAACCUUCGGGAGGGCGCUUACCACUUUGUGAUUCAUGACUGGGGUGAAGUCGUAACAAGGUAAGCGUAGUGCU
rnacentral:rRNA from 1 species